rnacentral:rRNA from 1 species
CAGCAGCCGCGGGAAUACGGAGGAUCCGAGCGUUAUCCGGAAUUAUUGGGUUUAAAGGGUGCGUAGGCGGAUAGAUAAGUCAGUGGUGAAAGACGGUGGCUCAACCAUCGCAGUGCCGUUGAUACUGUUUAUCUUGAAUAUGGAUGAGGUAGGCGGAAUGUGGCAAGUAGCGGUGAAAUGCAUAGAUAUGCCACAGAACACCGAUUGCGAAGGCAGCUUACCAAGGCAAAAUUGACGCUGAGGCACGAAAGCGUGGGGAUCGAACAGGAUUAGAUACCCGUGUAGUCCCUGUCUCUUAUAC